CUUCGGUUCCCACGAACGAAUCUGAUAAUGAUUGACCAGGUUCAACAAAGUCAAACGUUCAUAUUUUGAUGGAGGUAAAUACCAGAAUACAAAAUGAAACUAAAAACAAUAGUUUAUAAAAUGAAAAUGAUCCUGUAUUUACAAAACCAAUAACAAUCGAUACAUCAAUAUGUACAACAACUUACAUUACAAUGAACCCGUAUCGUUAACCAUUCAAAAUUGACAUUGAAGAAACAAUGAAAAGUUUUUACCUUUUGUUACUUUUCUAACUCGGUUUAAGCAAAAAUUCACCUUUUUUUUUUACUGGGAUUGCAGCUGUGUACUUACAGUGGGCAGGAACAUUUUACCAAAGAAAAGAAGGAAGAAUGAUUUCAAGAGGAAUUGGAAUUGUGAUCAUCUGCGACUAAUGUGGGUAUUUGACCUUGAUUGACAAAGUCAAUCUUGUUUAAUCUCAAACAGCAAAGAAUUUUCUCGGGUAAUUCUUCUGGUUUUUGAGCCUGUAUGUUUUUUUUUAACAAGAAAAAAUAUUAGGGAGGGAAAAAGUUGUAAUAGUUUGAAAGUACAUCAACAAUUCAUGAUUAGAUUUAGAUUACCUGAAUUGUUAAGCCGAGAUUCAUAAUCCCGUGUUUUAGACGUUCACGAAAUGCAUCCAAUCCUUUUCUUGCUAUGUAACUAAAUCGAUGAAUAUCAAGGUCAAUUUCAAAGUAA
rnacentral:lncRNA from 1 species